rnacentral:rRNA from 1 species
AAUCAACGCUGGCGGCGUGCCUCAGACAUGCAAGUCGAACGAUUAAGACUCUCUUCGGAGAGUGUAUAAAGUGGCGCACGGGUGAGUAACACGUAGGUAAUGUACCGAAGGGUGGGGAAUAACUUAGGGAAACUUAAGCUAAUACCGCAUAAUGCAGCGGCUCGACAUCGAGACAGUUGUUAAAGGAGCAAUCCGCCUUUUGAGCAGCCUGCGGCAGAUUAGCUAGUUGGUAAGGUAAUGGCUUACCAAGGCUACGAUCUGUAACCGACCUGAGAGGGUGGUCGGUCACACUGACACUGAAUAACGGGUCAGACUCCUACGGGAGGCAGCAGUCGGGAAUUUUGGGCAAUGGGCGAAAGCCUGACCCAGCAACGCCGCGUGAAGGAUGAAGUAUUUCGGUAUGUAAACUUCGAAAGAAUAGGAAGAAUAAAUGACGGUACUAUUUAUAAGGUCCGGCUAACUACGUGCCAGCAGCCGCGGUAAU